GGAGAGCGGGGAGGGAUGGAGGAAGUGGAGGAAGGCAGGGAAGCGGUGCAGGGAAGCCGGGAAGGCGAGGAGCUGAGGGGUGCCCCCGCGAUCCGGAGGGGACGGGCGGGCGGUGCCGCAGCCCGCAGUGGAAGGCGGUGCGGAGGCAGCCUGAGAGCUCCGGAGAGCAGGCCGCCUCCAUGAGGGGUUCCUCAGCCUUGAGGGGACCCUUCUCUCUAACGGAGCGAGGAGAUUUUCCCUGAAGAAACACUCAUUUUUGGGGGAACUCACCACCCUGAGGGAACACUUUUCCCUGAGGAACCCCGCCCUUUUUGAGCAGACCAUUCCCUCCUUUUUGAGGAAACCCUCCACCCUGAGGAAAGUCUCCUUUUUGAGGGCACUGACCACCCUGAGGGGACCCUUUUCCCUAGAAAGACACUCUUUCAGGGAACCGUCCUCCCUGAGGAGACCCUGAUUUUCCAGGAACCCUCCUCCCUGAGGUGACUUCCUGAGGCAUCCCUUGUCCCUGAGGAGAUCUUGCUUUCCAUGAAAACCUUCCUGCGGAGACCCUUCAUCCUGAGGCAUCCCUUUUCCCUCAGCAUCCCCGGCCCUAAAACAUGUUUCAAAAAGAGUAAAAGUUCAGAGCUGUAGCUGGGACCCCAGCUCCUGUCAGGGCUGAGGUGCCAGGUGUCCUGUGCUGAAGCGUUUUAAAAAGCAUCCCAAAAAGUGUCCUGGGAAGGUCCCAGAAAGGUCAGUGGGAGAAGGUGUUGCUGGCCCUGAUGUGUGCUGGAAACAAGAGAGUCCCUUUGUGUAAUAAACACACACAGGUCACUUUCAGGGUAAACACUCAGACUCUGCUAGAUUUCAGUGGCAACAGGGAGUGGAAGGAAAACACAACAAUUUCUCAAUGAAUAGGCUCAGCUUCUGUCUCCUGACUGGCAAAAUCAGGCUGGUCUGAGGCUGAGAGGUAAAAAGGCUGUACAUGUGCUAAGGACAAAUGCAAGGUCACGGGGACUGGCCAUGCCUUCAGUCAGACAUGUUAAUACUUGGGAGAAAAAUUAUAGCCUCAGUGGCUGCAAAACUCUGAUCCCAGAACUCACUUUUUUUUUUUUCAAGUUGGCUACUUUUCAUCCCAUUUGCAUCAUUCUUGUUCUUUCAGCCACAGAUGUUGAUUCCUGCAGCACACCAAGGCCUUCACAUUCACAGCAGUGACACCAUUUUUGUCCAUGCUUUGCUCUGGUUGAUUUUCUUGCAGCCUGAGCUCAGUGUGAAGCCUCCUUCUCCUUCCAGAUGGGGGGAGAUGGGAAAAUUCCCACAACUCUGGUGUUGUGAGUAUUAUUGCAACGAGGUAUCAUGGAACAGGUUAGCAGCUUUGGCAUUUAACUUUUAAUUAUAGUCUGAUCAGUGUGUUCCCAACAGAAAGCAGAAAUGUACAAAAGAAAGUAAUUUAGGGGAAAAAGAAUUGUUGCCCAGAGAAGUUAUUAAUGUCCCAUUCCUGGAAGUUUUCAAGACCAGCUUGGAUGGGGCUUGAAGCACCCUGGGGUAGUGUAAGUACAAGUCUGUACUAACCAUGGCAGAGCUCUUUUGUUUUGCUCUUUUUCAAGAACGUGUAAAAAUCUUGAUUACACUUUUUAAUCACACUUUUUAAUUGUGGGGGUUUUUUUUAACCUUCAAGGGUGCAAAAUUUCAUAAAAACCUGUAGAAUAGUCUUCUUGUUCCAGCUCAGAAACAGACUGACCAGAAUUCCAAGGGUGGAUGCUGUUUCAGAUUCUCUCCGAUCACCACUAGAGGCACAGGAUUACUCAACUCCUGUCAGCAAGGAACUCUUUUCGGUCUGGAAAUACAAGACUAGGGAUUCCAGUCCUACUGACCUUGCACUGACAACCAGCCAGCUAAUUCCGAUUGACCAGUAUCAUCUUCACAAACAAAUGAUGGUUUCAUGACCCUUUUUCUCCGACUACUGAGCUCAGAAUCAGUCAAAAAGCUACUGAAAGGGACUUCUUGGACAUUUCUGCUGAGGGGAGCAAGCAGAAGUCUGGAGACGUGGAGUAAGAGCUGCUACAUACCAUGAAGGCUGUUUGGAGGUGACCUUUUACCUACACUGACUGAGGUAGUCCAGUGAAUAACAAUAGUUAUUGCCACUGUGGAAAGGGAAAUGUGUGAAUUUGCCCCAAAGUGUGAUAAAAUGAGAGAGUUUUUCUCCUGUGGCCUCUCCCUCUGUUUGCAGCACCAGAACAGGAGCUCAUGUUCUUCUGAUUUCAAAAGGGCUGGAAGAGUCAAGGGCAGAAGGAACUCUCUGUACCUUUCCUUUCUGUCAAUAAUACAUUGAUGAGGUUUGUGCAGAACAUCAUCUUAUUUGAAUGAUAAGUUUUGGUGACUGCUCUGUGAUGCAUUGCUGAGGUCUGCUGCUCUCCUCUUGGUAUUGUCUGGAUUCAGCUCCCAGGUGAGCUCUCCCACAGGCCCCCGUGGCAGCAGAUCCAUCUGUGACAGCUCCACAUACCUCAUCCCAAGUUUUUCCUGCAUUAUCCAGCUCCAGUGGCAGGGGAAGGCAAGGGUAGAAAGGUUAACAUUCACCCCUCUCACCCCCAAAUUGCUGAGGAGGGCUGGCAACCCACAAAAGGCUUUCUCCUGCUCAGGCUGCCUCAGCUCAUGCAGUGCCACAGAUUAACGGAGCUCCAGACUGUCUGAUGGAGUUUUUCCCACAGAGCAAAAUAUUAACUCAGUCAAUUGAUUGCAUUUUCAUUUCUUGAGGGAGGUGCAGCCCACACAUCCAUUGUGUCUGAGCACAGGCAGUCUGUUGAAGCAAUACUCUGUUAUCUCACACGUGCUUUGUGCUGCACCUCCAGCCCUUGCCUCUGCUGUAAAAGGAAAUGGAAAUUCUUGCUCACAAGACCUAUCGGACAAAGAAAUAAAUUCUUGUAAAGCCAGUGUCCCAAACUUAGGAAAUUACAGUAUCUGCUGCAGCAAAAUGCUGUGAUAAAUCCCCAUCCAUCUGGAAUGUUUCCAUAAUCCACUACAGAUUGCCAAUUAAUUGCAUACUUAGUUCAAUGUAAUAAGGACAGAUAAUAGGCUGUAUUAGUGUAAGUCCCUCAGGGGCAGUGGAAAUACAUCACAAUAUUCCUAAAUAGCGUAUUUUUAUUAAACCAACGCCUGCAAGCUUCUGUCUGGUGCUAGAAACCUAUUGUGUGGGGAGCUGUACAUGUAAUGAAAGGCCAGAUUUACAGCACACACUCCUAUUAAGUGAAGCACUUAAUUGCUUACUUCAAGUACCAGUUCAAAUAAACUGAUCUCAUCUAUUUUCUAAUUAAAUGUGGGAAAUUAUAGUGUGGUUGGUUGGGACACAAGGUUUUUAAAUCCUCUUCUAGAGCAGGAGGAACUGUAAAUAGUCUCUUAUGCUGUUAAGAUUAAAAUGAGACUGAAAUCACAGAAAGAUCCUUUGAACAAUGCUGUGUGAAAUAUUUAGGAUUUUACAC